rnacentral:rRNA from 1 species
AAACCUCCGCAAUGUGAGAAAUCGCGACGGGGGGACCCCAAGUGCCAUUCUUAACGGGAUGGCUUUUCUUGAGUGUAAAAAGCUCUUGGAAUAGGAGCUGGGCAAGACCGGUGCCAGCCGCCGCGGUAACACCGGCAGCUCUAGUGGUAGCCAUUUUUAUUGGGCCUAAAGCGUUCGUAGCCGGUUUAAUAAGUCUCUGGUGAAAUCCUAUAGCUUAACUGUGGGAAUUGCUGGAGAUACUAUUAGACUUGAGGUCGGGAGAGGUUAGAGGUACUCCCAGGGUAGGGGUGAAAUC